UGGGGAAUCUUCCGCAAUGGACGAAAGUCUGACGGAGCAACGCCGCGUGAGUGAUGACGGUCUUCGGAUUGUAAAGCUCUGUUAAUCGGGACGAAUGGCUUGUGUGCAAAUAGUGCAUAGACAUGACGGUACCGGAAUAGAAAGCCACGGCUAACUACGUGCCAGCAGCCGCGGUAAUACGUAGGUGGCAAGCGUUGUCCGGAAUUAUUGGGCGUAAAGCGCGCGCAGGCGGACUAGCCAGUCAGUCUUAAAAGUUCGGGGCUUAACCCCGUGAUGGGAUUGAAACUACUAGUCUAGAGUAUCGGAGAGGAAAGUGGAAUUCCUAGUGUAGCGGUGAAAUGCGUAGAUAUUAGGAAGAACACCAGUGGCGAAGGCGACUUUCUGGACGAACACUGACGCUGAGGCGCGAAAGCCAGGGGAGCGAACGGG
rnacentral:rRNA from 1 species